rnacentral:rRNA from 1 species
AGCGCGGUCCUCGGUCCCGGCUGGCCGUAUUGCACAAGGAGCUAUAACACUCCCCGGAGGGAGCUACAUUCUCCGAGUCUUUGUCCGGCCGCCUGAACCGAUGCUGGCCUGAUCGCGGAUGAGUGCACGGCGCGAAAAGCACCGCUGAUCACCCGCGAGCAGGUCUGGUCGCAAGCGCUUCCCUUUCAACAAUUUCACGUGCUGUUUGACUCUCUUUCCAAAGUGCUUUUCAUCUUUCGAUCACUCUACUUGUGCGCUAUCGGUCUCUGGCCAAUAUUUAGCUUUAGAUGAAAUUUACCACCCAUUUUGAGCUGCAUUCCCAAACAACUCGACUCGUCGAAGGGGUUUCACAUGGGUUUGGCGACCGGUCACAUACGGGGUUCUCACCCUCUAUGACACCCUGUUCCAAAGGACUUAAACCGGCACCGUGCCCGAAACACCCUCUGCAAAUUACAACUCGGACCCCCAGGGGUCAGAUUUCAAAUUUGAGCUGUUGCCGCUUCACUCGCCGUUACUGAGGCAAUCCCUGUUGGUUUCUUUUCCUCCGCUUAUUGAUAUGCUUAAGUUCAGCGGGUAUCCCUACCUGAUCCGAGGUCAACCGUUGAAUUANNNAAAAAUCGGGUUAUAUGNNGCCGGACACGGGAGCGAACUUUCUAAACGGAUGAUANNUUACNUUCGUUCGUAAGCCGCUCCGGANCCGCCACUACUUUUGAGGUACGCCCUUUUUGGGGGGCGAAAAC